CAGAAUUCGGAGGAAGGGAUGGUGGAAUUUAUUGGGAUGUUGAAAAUCAGAAUUAAAAAUGGUACAAAUUUAGCUGUCAGAGAUAUGAUGUCAAGUGAUCCUUAUGUGGUCCUCGCUCUUGGGAAACAGAGAGUUCAGACAUCUGUAAUAAGGAGCAACUUGAAUCCAGUUUGGAACGAGGAACUCAUGCUGUCAGUCCCACAGAAUUUUGGACCUGUAAAGUUGGAAGUUUUUGAUUAUGACACAUUUUCAGCUGAUGACAUAAUGGGAGAAGCAGAGCUUGAUAUCCAACCGCUAAUAACGUCAGCCAUGGCGUUUGGGGACCCAGAAAUGUUUGGAAACAUGCA
rnacentral:misc_RNA from 1 species